rnacentral:sRNA from 1 species
AUGCACCCCACAGCCCGGUACCUCCCCCGCCAGAGGAGGGAAAAAGAUCAACCAGCGCUCCCCACUCCCCGCCUUUACUGAUGGAGUGGAAGUCCGGACCUAGGGACAGCGCCAUGAUGGAAGCUCGGUCCACCCCUCCUCGCAGCUAAAAAUAACCUAAUGGGGCGACGCUGGCGGCUGCGGCCCGGGAAGGGUUAAUGCUCCCGACGCUGGGCCGCGAGAGGGUGGGGACGGUGGUGGAGGCAGAACAGCCGGGCUGCGUCCCUGGGUGUGGCCGGAAACAAAGGAACCCCCGUCUUUACGCUUUGUCUCGGGGUGGGGAGCUGAGGGCGCAGCGGUCAGGAGCUGGCCCUCCGCCCCAGUUCCUGCCUGGCAUCAGCGUGGAGCCUGACUGUUCCUGAGGGAUGCGGACCACUGGAGCCCAUAGUGACCGACUCCUCAUCAAAGGUGGACGGAUCAUCAACGAUGACCAAUCCCUUUAUGCUGACGUCUACCUGGAGGAUGGACUUAUCAAACAAAUAGGAGAGAACUUAAUCGUUCCUGGUGGAGUGAAGACCAUUGAAGCCAACGGGCGGAUGGUUAUUCCCGGAGGUAUUGAUGUCAACACGUACCUGCAGAAGCCCUCCCAGGGGAUGACUGCGGCUGAUGACUUCUUCCAAGGGACCAGGGCGGCACUGGUGGGCGGGACCACGAUGAUCAUUGACCAUGUUGUUCCUGAACCUGGGUCCAGCCUACUGACCUCUUUCGAGAAGUGGCACGAAGCAGCUGACACCAAAUCCUGCUGUGAUUACUCCCUCCACGUGGACAUCACAAGCUGGUACGAUGGCGUUCGGGAGGAGCUGGAGGUGCUGGUGCAGGACAAAGGCGUCAAUUCCUUCCAAGUCUACAUGGCCUAUAAGGAUGUCUACCAAAUGUCCGACAGCCAGCUCUAUGAAGCCUUUACCUUCCUUAAGGGCCUGGGAGCUGUGAUCUUGGUCCAUGCAGAAAAUGGAGAUUUGAUAGCUCAGGAACAAAAGCGGAUCCUGGAGAUGGGCAUCACGGGUCCCGAGGGCCAUGCCCUGAGCAGACCUGAAGAGCUGGAGGCCGAGGCGGUGUUCCGGGCCAUCACCAUUGCGGGCCGGAUCAACUGCCCUGUGUACAUCACCAAGGUCAUGAGCAAGAGUGCAGCCGACAUCAUCGCUCUGGCCAGGAAGAAAGGGCCCCUAGUUUUUGGAGAGCCCAUUGCCGCCAGCCUGGGGACCGAUGGCACCCAUUACUGGAGCAAGAACUGGGCCAAGGCUGCGGCGUUCGUGACUUCCCCUCCCCUGAGCCCGGACCCUACCACGCCCGACUACUUGACCUCCCUACUGGCCUGUGGGGACUUGCAGGUCACAGGCAGCGGCCACUGUCCCUACAGCACUGCCCAGAAGGCGGUGGGCAAGGACAACUUCACCCUGAUCCCCGAGGGUGUCAACGGGAUAGAGGAGCGGAUGACCGUCGUCUGGGACAAGGCGGUGGCUACUGGCAAAAUGGAUGAGAACCAGUUUGUCGCUGUCACCAGCACCAAUGCAGCCAAGAUCUUUAACCUGUACCCAAGGAAAGGGCGGAUUGCCGUGGGCUCGGACGCCGACGUGGUCAUCUGGGACCCCGACAAGGUGAAGACCGUAACAGCCAAAAGUCACAAGUCGGCAGUGGAGUACAACAUCUUCGAGGGUAUGGAGUGCCACGGCUCCCCACUAGUGGUCAUCAGCCAGGGCAAGAUCGUCUUUGAAGACGGAAACAUCAAUGUCAACAAGGGCAUGGGCCGCUUCAUUCCGCGGAAGGCGUUCCCGGAGCACCUGUACCAGCGCGUCAAAAUCAGGAAUAAGGUUUUUGGAUUGCAAGGGGUUUCCAGGGGCAUGUAUGACGGUCCUGUGUACGAGGUACCAGCUACACCCAAAUAUGCAACUCCCGCUCCUUCAGCCAAAUCUUCGCCUUCUAAACACCAGCCCCCACCCAUCAGAAACCUCCACCAGUCCAACUUCAGCUUAUCAGGUGCCCAGAUAGAUGACAACAAUCCCAGGCGCACCGGCCACCGCAUCGUGGCGCCCCCUGGUGGCCGCUCCAACAUCACCAGCCUCGGUUGAACGCGGAUGCGCGGAGGAGCUAGCCUGAAGGAUUCUGGGAAUCAUGUCCAUCCCUUUUCCUGUCAGUGUUUUUGAAACCCACAGUUUUAGUUGGUGCUGAUGGAGGGAGGGGGAAGUCGAAGGAUGCUCUUUCCCUUUUCUGUUUAGGAAGAAGUGGUACUAGUGUGGUGUGUUUGCUUGGAAAUUCCUUGCCCCACAGUUGUGUUCAUGCUGAAUCCACCUCGGAGCAUGGUGUUUUCAUUCCCCCUUCCUAGUGAACCACAGGUUUUAGCAUUGUCUUGUUCUGUCCCUUCCACUUCUAACUCCACUGGCUCCAUGAUUCUCUGAGUGGUGGUUCCUUUGCACCCUGUAGAUGUUCUAGGAUAGUUGAUGCAUGUUACUAAAUUACGUAUGCAAGUCUGUGAGUGCGUCUGAGGGGACAUCGCCAAGGACUGACUGAGACACGAUGCCGAGACCUCAAGCCCUGAGGGGCAGUCCCAAAACCCUUACAGUGAAGAUGUUUACUCAUUGCCCCCACCUCUGGUCCACACUAGAAAGAAGCUCGCCCCACCUCCACCUGUGAGAUCCGUGAAUUCUCGGAAUGGCAGGGGAAGCCUUGCACUAGGUUGCAGAGAAGCAUCCUCCACAUCCUGUGUCAGAAACCCUGGUCUCCGUGGCACUUGUAACUCACCGUGCUGUCUUCUGGUCUGUGUGUGUUCUUCAAGCCAGCUCUAGGCUUCAGGCCGAGCCAGGUUCACACUCAGAAAGAGGUCUCCCCAUCCCCAUUCGGGGCUGACGAUGGGGGGGUGAUGGCUGCCCCUGCGUGGCCUGAGUCCUGGUCCCUCUGAGGCAGUUGACGGGGCAGUCAGAUUUUUAAAGUUUUGUACAAAGUUUUCCUUUGUAAUCACUCCCAUUUUUACUUAACAACCAACUUGUUGUGGCUCUUAUUUCUGAAUUCAAAGCUUGUGAAAAAAUAAAGAAAAUGAACUGCCCACUG